rnacentral:rRNA from 1 species
GACGAACGCUGGCGGCGUGCUUAACACAUGCAAGUCGAACGGUGAAGCGCCUUCCUUUUUGGUGGGUGUGGAGGAGUGGCGAACGGGUGAGUAACACGUGAGUAACCUGCCCCCUUCUUCUGGAUAACCGCAUGAAAGUGUGGCUAAUACGGGAUAUUCUGGGUCUGUCGCAUGAUGGGUCUGGGAAAGAUAUUGGGUCGGUGGGGGAUGGGCUCGCGGCCUAUCAGCUUGUUGGUGGGGUGAUGGCCUACCAAGGCGGUGAGGGGUAGCCGGCCUGGGAGGGUGGACGGCCACAGUGGGACUCAGACACGGCCGAGACUGCUACGGGAGGCAGACGUGGGGAAUAGUGCACAGUGGGGGAAAGUCUGAUGCAGCGACGCGGCGGGAGCGAUGGAGGCCUUCGGGUGGUGAACCUCUUUGGGUAGUGAAGCAGGCCUGCCUCGUUUGUGGGUGGGUUGACGGUAGCUGGAUAAGAAGCGCCGGCUAACUACGUG